GUGGGUAGUUUGACUGGGGCGGUCUCCUCCUAAAGAGUAACGGAGGAGCACGAAGGUUGGCUAAUCCUGGUCGGACAUCAGGAGGUUAGUGCAAUGGCAUAAGCCAGCUUGACUGCGAGCGUGACGGCGCGAGCAGGUGCGAAAGCAGGUCAUAGUGAUCCGGUGGUUCUGAAUGGAAGGGCCAUCGCUCAACGGAUAAAAGGUACUCCGGGGAUAACAGGCUGAUACCGCCCAAGAGUUCAUAUCGACGGCGGUGUUUGGCACCUCGAUGUCGGCUCAUCACAUCCUGGGGCUGAAGUAGGUCCCAAGGGUAUGGCUGUUCGCCAUUUAAAGUGGUACGCGAGCUGGGUUUAGAACGUCGUGAGACAGUUCGGUCCCUAUCUGCCGUGGGCGCUGGAAGAUUGAGGGGGGCUGCUCCUAGUACGAGAGGACCGGAGUGGACGCAUCACUGGUGUUCGGGUUGUCAUGCCAAUGGCACUGCCCGGUAGCUACAUGCGGAAGAGAUAAGUGCUGAAAGCAUCUAAGCACGAAACUUGCCCCGAGAUGAAUCUUCCCUGAGCCUUUAAGGCUCCUGAAGGAACGUUGAAGACGACGACGUUGAUAGGCCGGGUGUG
rnacentral:rRNA from 2 species